rnacentral:rRNA from 1 species
UACGAAGGGGGCGAGCGUUGUUCGGAUUUACUGGGCGUAAAGGGCGCGCAGGCGGCAGACCAAGUCAGGCGUGAAAGCCCCGGGCUUAACCUGGGAGGUGCGUCUGGGACUGGUAUGCUAGAGUUCGGGAGAGGAGAGUGGAAUUCCCAGUGUAGAGGUGAAAUUCGUAGAUAUUGGGAAGAACACCGGUGGCGAAGGCGGCUCUCUGGACCGAGACUGACGCUGAGGCGCGAAAGCGUGGGGAGCGAACAGG